rnacentral:piRNA from 1 species
UCUGGAUUUGGAAGCCAUCCAAC